rnacentral:rRNA from 1 species
UAAUACGUAGGUGGCAAGCGUUGUCCGGAUUUAUUGGGUUUAAAGGGUGCGUAGGCGGCCUAUUAAGUCAGUGCUGAAAUAUCACGGCUCAACCGUGAGGGUGGCAUUGAUACUGAUGGGCUUGAGUGAAGUCGAGGUAGGCGGAAUUGACGGUGUAGCGGUGAAAUGCUUAGAUAUCGUCAAGAACACCGAUAGUGAAGACAGCUUACUAGGCUUAUACUGACGCUGAGGCACGAAAGUGUGGGGAUCAAACAGGAUUAGAUACCCUGGUAGUCCACACUGUAAACGUUGAUUACUCGCUGUUGGCGAUAUACAGCCAGCGGCUAAGCGAAAGCGCUAAGUAAUCCACCUGGGGAGUACGCCGGCAACGGUG